rnacentral:tRNA from 1 species
GCCCGGGUAGCUCAAUGGAAGAGCGCCUGUCCUACAAACAGGAUGUUGGGGGUUCGAGUCCCUCCGCGGGCAC